rnacentral:rRNA from 1 species
AUUGAACGCUGGCGGCAUGCCUUACACACGCAAGUCGAACGGUAACAGAUCUUCGGAUGCUGACGAGUGGCGAACGGGUGAGUAAUACAUCGGAACGUGCCUAGUAGUGGGGGAUAACUACUCGAAAGAGUGGCUAAUACCGCAUGAGAUCUACGGAUGAAAGCAGGGGAUCGCAAGACCUUGUGCUACUAGAGCGGCCGAUGGCAGAUUAGGUAGUUGGUGGGAUAAAAGCUUACCAAGCCGACGAUCUGUAGCUGGUCUGAGAGGACGAUCAGCCACACUGGGACUGAGACACGGCCCAGACUCCUACGGGAGGCAGCAGUGGGGAAUUUUGGACAAUGGGCGCAAGCCUGAUCCAGCAAUGCCGCGUGCAGGAUGAAGGCCUUCGGGUUGUAAACUGCUUUUGUACGGAACGAAAAGCCCUGGGUUAAUACCCUGGGGUCAUGACGGUACCGUAAGAAUAAGCACCGGCUAACUACGUGCCAGCAGCCGCGGUAAAAC